rnacentral:rRNA from 1 species
GACGAACGCUGGCGGCGUGCCUAACACAUGCAAGUCAACUUGACUGAAGGAGCAAUCUGACAGUAGAGUGGCGCAAGGGUGCGUAACGCGUAAGUAACUUGCCCAAGGUAAGGAAUAACGUCGAGAAAUCGGCGCUAAUACCUCAUAAUGCAGCGGAUCCGCAUGGAUAUGUUGUUAAAGGUUUACCGCCUUGGGAUAGGCUUGCGUCUGAUUAGCUAGUUGGUGUGGUAACGGCACACCAAGGCUACGAUCAGUAACUGGUCUGAGAGGAUGAUCAGUCACACUGGAACUGAGACACGGUCCAGACUCCUACGGGAGGCAGCAGUGAGGAAUAUUGGGCAAUGCUCGAAAGAGUGACCCAGCAACGCCGCGUGGAGGAUGAAGGUAUUCUAUAUCGUAAACUCCUGUGAGAGCAGACGAAAGACAGAUUAUAAUCUGGAUGACUGUAUGCUCAGAGGAAGCCCCGGCUAAC